rnacentral:rRNA from 1 species
UACGAAGGUGGCAAGCGUUGUUCGGAUUCACUGGGCGUACAGGGUGUGUAGGCGGUUUGGUAAGCCUUCUGUUAAAGCUUCGGGCCCAACCCGGAAAGCGCAGAGGGUACUGCCAGGCUAGAGGACGGGAGAGGAGCGCGGAAUUCCCGGUGUAGCGGUGAAAUGCGUAGAGAUCGGGAGGAAGGCCGGUGGCGAAGGCGGCGCUCUGGAACGUUACUGACGCUGAGACACGAAAGCGUGGGGAGCAAAGCAGG